AAGCCUGAUCCAGCCAUGCCGCGUGAGUGAUGAAGGCCCUAGGCUUGUAAAGCUCUUUUGUGCGGGAAGAUAAUGACGGUACCGCAAGAAUAAGCCCCGGCUAACUUCGUGCCAGCAGCCGCGGUAAUACGAAGGGGGCUAGCGUUGCUCGGAAUCACUGGGCGUAAAGGGUGCGUAGGCGGGUCUUUAAGUCAGAGGUGAAAUCCUGGAGCUCAACUCCAGAACUGCCUUUGAUACUGAGGAUCUUGAGUUCGGGAGAGGUGAGUGGAACUGCGAGUGUAGAGGUGAAAUUCGUANAUAUUCGCAAGAACACCAGUGGCGAAGGCGGCUCACUGGCCCGAUACUGACGCUGAGGCACGAAAGCGUGGGGAGCAAACAGGAUUAGAUACCCUGGUANUCCACGCCGUAAACGAUGAAUGCCAGCCGUUGGGGAGUUUACUCUUCAGUGGCGCAGCUAACGCUUUCAAGCAUUCCGCCCUGGGGGAGUACGGNCGCAAGAUUAAAACUCAAAGA
rnacentral:rRNA from 1 species